rnacentral:rRNA from 1 species
CCUACGGGGGGCUGCAGUGGGGAAUAUUGGGCAAUGGGCGCAAGCCUGACCCAGCAACGCCGCGUGAAGGAAGAAGGCCCUCGGGUUGUAAACUUCUUUUAUCAAGGACGAAACAAAUGACGGUACUUGAUGAAUAAGCCACGGCUAACUACGUGCCAGCAGCCGCGGUAAUACGUAGGUGGCAAGCGUUAUCCGGAUUUACUGGGUGUAAAGGGCGUGUAGGCGGGACUGCAAGUCAGAUGUGAAAACCAUGGGCUCAACCCAUGGCCUGCAUUUGAAACUGUAGUUCUUGAGUGUUGGAGAGGCAGGCGGAAUGCCGUGUGUAGCGGUGAAAUGCGUAGAUAUUAGGAGGAACACCGGUGGCGAAGGCGGCUUACUGGACCGUAACUGACGUUGAGGCUCGAAAGCGUGGGGAGCAAACAGGAUUAGAUACCCUUGUAGUC